UUUAAUUUAUAUGAAGGGAGCGGCAAAUUAGUUUAAAAUUUUCAAAAGAGAAAAUAAUAUGCCUCACCUUGUGAUCAUCGGAGAGGGGAAAAGCGCCGCCGUUCCGACAUAGAACGGCACGUGAAUCACCACAGUUUGCGACGAUGAUCUUAUCAGGGGUGACAACAGCAACCACCGCGGUGGACCCAACGGCGUCGCACUGUGGAGUUUGAAG